UACGUAGGGUGCAAGCGUUAAUCGGAAUUACUGGGCGUAAAGCGUGCGCAGGCGGUUUUGUAAGUCUGUCGUGAAAGCCCCGGGCUCAACCUGGGAAUUGCGAUGGAGACUGCAAGGCUUGAAUCUGGCAGAGGGGGGUAGAAUUCCACGUGUAGCAGUGAAAUGCGUAGAGAUGUGGAGGAACACCGAUGGCGAAGGCAGCCCCCUGGGUCAAGAUUGACGCUCAUGCACGAAAGCGUGGGAGCAACAGG
rnacentral:rRNA from 1 species